GUUAUCCGGAUUCAUUGGGCGUAAAGCGGGGCUAGGCGGCUUGUUAAGCAAGGUGUUAAAUUUGAGGGCUCAACCCCCAGCCGCACCCUGAACUGGCAGGCUUGAGUUCGGUAGAGGAAAGUGGAAUUCCCAGUGUAGCGGUGGAAUGGGCAGAUAUUGGGAAGAACACCGGUGGCGAAGGCGGCUUUCUGGGCCGUAACUGACGCUGAGGCGCGAAAGCUAGGGGAGCAAAGCAGGAUUAGAUACCCUGGUAGUCCUAGCCGUAAACGAUGGGCACUAGGUGUGGGGAGAUCAUUCU
rnacentral:rRNA from 1 species